rnacentral:rRNA from 1 species
AAGUCUGCCGCCUGGGGAGUACGGUCGCAAGACCGAAACUUAAAGGAAUUGGCGGGGGAGCACCACAAGGGGUGAAGCCUGCGGUUCAAUUGGAGUCAACGCCGGAAAUCUUACCGGGGGCGACAGCAGAGUGAAGGUCAAGCUGAAGACUUUACUAGACAAGCUGAGAGGAGGUGCAUGGCCGUCGCCAGCUCGUGCCGUGAGGUGUCCUGUUAAGUCAGGUAACGAGCGAGAUCCCUGCCUUUAGUUGCUACCUUUACUCUCAGGAGGAGUGGGGCUAAUUAAAGGGACUGCCGCUGCUAAGGCGGAGGAAGGAGGGGGCUACGGCAGGUCAGUAUGCCCCGAAACCCUCGGGCCACACGCGGGCUGCAAUGGUAAGGACAAUAGGUUCCGAUUCCGAAAGGAGGAGGCAAUCCCUAAACCUUACCUCAGUUAUGAUUGAGGGCUGAAACUCGCCCUCAUGAAUGUGGAAUCCCUAGUAACCGCGUGUCACUAUCGCGCGGUGAAUACGUCCCUGCUCCUUGCACACACCGCCCGUCGCUUCAUCGAAGUUGGUUUUUGGCGAGGUGGUGCCUAAUUGACACUAUCGAACCUGGGGUCAGCAACGAGGGAGAAGUCGUAACAAGGUAGCC